UGGGAACGUACCCUUUGGUUCGGAAUAACUCGGGGAAACUCGGGCUAAUACCGGAUACGUCCGUAAGGAGAAAGAUUUAUCGCCGAAGGAUCGGCCCGCGUCGGAUUAGCUAGUUGGUGAGGUAACGGCUCACCAAGGCGAUGAUCCGUAGCUGGUCUGAGAGGACGAUCAGCCACACUGGGACUGAGAUACGGCCCAGACUCCUACGGGAGGCAG
rnacentral:rRNA from 1 species